GAUCCUGGCUCAGGAUGAACGCUGGCGGCGUGCUUAACACAUGCAAGUCGAACGGGGAUUAUUUUGACAGAGACUUCGGUUGAAGUUGUUAUAAUCCUAGUGGCGGACGGGUGAGUAACGCGUGGGUAACCUGCCUCACACUGGGGGAUAACAGUCAGAAAUGACUGCUAAUACCGCAUAAGCGCACGGGAUUGCAUGAUCCAGUGUGAAAAACUCCGGUGGUGUGAGAUGGACCCGCG
rnacentral:rRNA from 1 species